CAGCACCUCAAGUGGUCAGGAUGAUUAUUGGGCCUAAAGCAUCCGUAGCCGGCUCUGUAAGUUUUCGGUUAAAUCUGUACGCUCAACGUACAGGCUGCCGGGAAUACUGCAGCGCUAGGGAGUGGGAGAGGUAGACGGUACUCGGUAGGAAGGGGUAAAAUCCUUUGAUCUAUUGAUGACCACCUGUGGCGAAGGCGGUCUACCAGAACACGUCCGACGGUGAGGGAUGAAAGCUGGGGGAGCAAACCGGAUUAGAUACCCCAGUAGUCC
rnacentral:rRNA from 1 species